AAAGCGUGCGCAGGCGGUUUUGUAAGUCUGUCGUGAAAUCCCCGGGCUCAACCUGGGAAUGGCGAUGGAGACUGCAAGGCUAGAGUUUGGCAGAGGGGGGUAGAAUUCCACGUGUAGCAGUGAAAUGCGUAGAGAUGUGGAGGAACACCGAUGGCGAAGGCAGCCCCCUGGGUCAAAACUGACGCUCAUGCACGAAAGCGUGGGGAGCAAACAGGAUUAGAUACCCCAGU
rnacentral:rRNA from 1 species